UUCUUGUUUUUAAAAGACCUAGCAAUAGGUAUGCUUAGGGAGGAGCUUGCGUCACAUUAGUUAGUUGGUGGGGUAAAGGCCUAACAAGACUAUGAUGUGUAGCCGGGCUGAGAGGUUGAACGGCCACAUUGGGACUGAGACACGGCCCAAACUCCUACGGGAGGCAGCAGUAGGGAAUUUUCGGCAAUGGAGGAAACUCUGACCGAGCAACGCCGCGUGAACGAUGAAGUAUUUCGGUACGUAAAGUUCUUUUAUUAGGGAAGAAUAAAUGAUGGAAAAAUCAUUCUGACGGUACCUAAUGAAUAAGCCCCGGCUAACUAUGUGCCAGCAGCCGCGGUAAUACAUAGGGGGCAAGCGUUAUCCGGAAUUAUUGGGCGUAAAGGGUGCGUAGGCGGUUAAAUAAGUUUAUGGUCUAAGUGCAAUGCUCAACAUUGUGAUGCUAUAAAAACUGUUUAGCUAGAGUAAGAUAGAGGCAAGUGGAAUUCCAUGUGUAGUGGUAAAAUGCGUAAAUAUAUGGAGGAACACCAGUAGCGAAGGCGGCUUGCUGGGUCUUUACUGACGCUGAGGCACGAAAGCGUGGGGAGCAAACAGGAUUAGAUACCCUGGUAGUCCACGCCGUAAACGAUGAGUACUAAACGUUGGGUAAAACCAGUGUUGAAGUUAACACAUUAAGUACUCCGCCUGAGUAGUACGUACGCAAGUAUGAAACUUAAAGGAAUUGACGGGACUCCGCACAAGCGGUGGAUCAUGUUGUUUAAUUCGAGGGUACCCGAAAAACCUCACCAGGUCUUGACAUGCUUCUGCAAAGCUGUAGAAACACAGUGGAGGUUAUCAGUUGCACAGGUGGUGCAUGGUUGUCGUCAGCUCGUGUCGUGAGAUGUUGGGUUAAGUCCCGCAACGAGCGCAACCCUUAUUGUUAGUUACCAGCACGUAAUGGUGGGGACUUUAGCAAGACUGCCAGUGAUAAAUUGGAGGAAGGUGGGGACGACGUCAAAUCAUCAUGCCCCUUAUGACCUGGGCUACAAACGUGAUACAAUGGCUGUUACAAAGGGUAGCUGAAGCGCAAGUUUUUGGCGAAUCUCAAAAAAACAGUCUCAGUUCGGAUUGAAGUCUGCAACUCGACUUCAUGAAGUUGGAAUCGCUAGUAAUCGCGAAUCAGCAUGUCGCGGUGAAUAC
rnacentral:rRNA from 1 species